rnacentral:rRNA from 1 species
UGGGGAAUAUUGGACAAUGGGCGAAAGCCUGAUCCAGCCAUGCCGCGUGUGUGAAGAAGGUCUUCGGAUUGUAAAGCACUUUAAGUUGGGAGGAAGGGCAUUAACCUAAUACGUUAGUGUUUUGACGUUACCGACAGAAUAAGCACCGGCUAACUCUGUGCCAGCAGCCGCGGUAAUACAGAGGGUGCAAGCGUUAAUCGGAAUUACUGGGCGUAAAGCGCGCGUAGGUGGGUUGUUAAGUUGGAUGUGAAAUCCCCGGACUCAACCUGGGAACUGCAUUCAAAACUGACUGACUAGAGUAUGGUAGAGGGUGGUGGAAUUUCCUGUGUAGCGGUGAAAUGCGUAGAUAUAGGAAGGAACACCAGUGGCGAAGGCGACCACCUGGACUAAUACUGACACUGAGGUGCGAAAGCGUGGGGAGCAAACA